rnacentral:misc_RNA from 1 species
GCAAAGUAAAAUAUCUAUGGAAGGGAAUCAGGUUUCUUGUAGAGCUGAAAAUACUUAACCUUAGUCAUUCCCAUGGCCUUGUUAGAACCCCUGACUUCAGAGGGCUCCCUAGUCUUGAGAAAUUGGCGCUCAAAGAUUGUACAAGCUUGGUUGAUAUUGAUGAAUCCAUUGGAGGCCUAGAGAGGCUUGUAAUAUUGAAUUUAAGAGACUGCAAAAGCCUCAAGAAGCUUCCAGAAGAAAUUACUAUGCUG